rnacentral:lncRNA from 10 species
AGAGCCCUCGUCAGAUGUGUAUUUUGGAGAGGAUUACCAGUUUUCUAUGCAGUGGCUAUAUCUGCUGCCAAAGACUUUGCUGGCUGGGAAAACACUGAUUUCUUCAAGGGAAACGUCGUAAGGCAGGAGGGUGCAUGACAACUUGUAAAAGUGGGGUUGAUAACAGAGAUAGAAACACUCAGUUUUUCGCAUUGGGUUAGAAUUAUCUACAAGACAGUUUGAAGAUGGGAAAAUAUUUUGACCCAUCUCUGAUAGUUUAGAGUAAUAUUAAAAUUGACUACACAAAUAAAUAAAAUGCAUAUAGGGAUUAAAAAUACCUAUUAUUUCAUAUGCAAUGUAAUACGUUGCUUAAGUUCUUUAUUGCAGUGGAAACAAAAAAAAGAAAGAAAUACAGUAGACAAGCCAAAAUAAUUUGCAUAAAACACAACGGAAAGUGGCUGAGAAGAGGACAAUUUAGGAAAAUGAUCUCUCCAGGAAUGCUGCCAAGAUGCAGGUGCCUACAGGGUAAGUCGGUGCUCUUGAUCAUGAAGCUGCAUACUUACCUGGACCAGUUUGCAGGAGAAGCUGAAAGAGGAGAUCUGGCAGGAGCUAGAGGAGUUUGGGGCCUGACUGCUACUCCAACAACAAGAUAAACCAGCAAUUCAGCAACAACAUGCAUAAGCUGCAAUAGAUCCUGAACUCACACUCACCUUUCUAGGACAAACAGGGUGUUGCUCCCCUGUCAUUUAAAAAAUCAUUUACAAAUUUUAUUCGUGGCCAAUUCUCACUUGGAAAGAUAUAUGGAAGACAAAUGUGGCAAAGGGAGUUUCAGUUAAGCCAAAUUGAAACAAGAGAAAGCAACAUUUCAUUUAAUUUUGCAACUUUAAUGUAAUUGUGCUCUAAAUUGUGGACUUUGGAUUAAUAGCAAAAUUCCAAGUUGUGGAAUAUUAUCUUCUGGUUUUGAAUACAUCCUAGCACUUUAUCAUAUUCUAUAUACUAACAUUAUAUAGUGCUUAUUAUAGAGAGUGGGUUUAGUAGUCCCUAAUAUUCAUGUCUUUAUAAAAGCUGAAUUUGUAAUAUUCUUUCAAGUAUCAUUGACAAUUUCCUGUACCAAGCAAAAUGAUAUCAUGAUAAUUAAAAUUAAAAUUCUGACAUCUGGAACAGGAAGCUCAGUUAAGCAAAAUUUAUUCGGAAAAAAGAUGUCUUACCAGGGCUGUGUAUUAGACUUUAUUUUAGGUUAAGAGAAAAAUAUGAUUUAUAGGUUUCCUGAGACUAAAUCGUUAACACAAUAUUACAUACUAUAAGCAGAUAAGUUCCAAGCACAAUCCUUGGCAUAGUUUAAGGAGUCUAACAAAGAAAGAAGGAAUGGAAUUAAUGGUGAUGUUGAUGAAGAGGGAGGUUGUGAUGAUGGUGAUGUGAGAACACAACGAGCUGUAAUAAAUAAAGAAAAAUCAUCCACUACUGUUUUUAAGGCAUAAAUACACAGUAGGUCUUAUAGAAAACUGGAAAAGUCACCUAUUAAUCGGCAACUCUAAUGAUCAAUUUAUCUUGUAACCUUAAGGUGUGAUCUGUUCUUCAAAUUUAUCUUACUCUCUCCACUCGUGCUCCUUUGUGAGUUAUCAUACCCUUUCAUUAGCUCACCUAUCAAAUGUCAGUGACCUCUGUUCGAUUAAGGACUAGAAUAGAAUAGAAUAGAAUAGAAUAGAACAGAACAGAACAGAACAGAACAGAACAGAACAGAACAGAACAGAACAGAACAGAACAGAACAAUUUGGCUUUCAGGCUUACAUGGCAAAAAGCAUACCAUCUUUGGGUAGAAAGAAAUACCUUUAUUCAGCAAAGACCUAUAAACAUAGCAGACUUUUUGGUGUUGCCGACUGAGCAGUAUAGACCUGUAUCUGUUUUAGAUGAUUAUGUUACUCUUGCCCAUAAUGGUCCAAAAUAGGAACUUUUUUUAAAAAAGAUGUUGAGAGAGGCGAGGGAUUUGCAGGAUGCGCCACAGAGCCGUUUUGUUUUGAAAGUGUAAAAGAAGUAUAAUACAUAAUUUCUGAUUAGUUUUUUUAAAACUACAAAAUGUUGUUUUUUCCACUAUUCUUCUGAGGGAUGUUCACCAAUAUUCUGGUUUUCCUCUGGACACAUGGUUGAAUUGCACUUCCUCACUCCCCUCCCCAUAGCCUACCAUGCUUGCAGUUAGUUAGGCACAACCAAUGACCUGCUGUAGCCAACGAAAUGAGAGCAGAAGUGAAGUGUUCACUUAUGUUUGUCCUACUUCUUGCAAUAAGUAAUUUGAGGCAGUUGUGACCUUGGCCAUGGAUAUGGUGGUACAUCAUUUGCACUGUUAAGAUUAUGACAAAAACAUUGCACAUAUUCAAUUUAUUUCAUAUUAAAAACAAAUAAAAUAUUUUGAACUCACCAUAAAAUUGCUUGAUUAAAACAUGGCUACUAUGUACAUUCUAAAUAUACUUCUCUUUAUUGGAAAAAUAUUAAUUAAAAUAAUUAUUACUUUAACAGAAACUCUAAGUGAUUAGUGCUUCAUAAUGAUUGCCCACAGAUUUAGAAUACUUAUUAAUUCUAUAAUAAUGUAGUCUUAAGAAUUAUAUGUGUUUAACUUUUUCAGGCUAAAAUAAUGUGUUACGUAUAAAGAUUUAAUUGUAGGCACAUGACUCUGAACUCCCUUUUCCCAAGUGUAGAGAUUGUUGUGACAAGUCCUGAAAUGGAGCCUCCAUCAGCCUGAGUGACUACAAUGAGCUGAAAUCAGUGCUGCUCCAUUUGGACAUUCAAGAUGAGUGAGAUAAAAAAAAAAAAUUGUUUUGUGUUAAGCCACUGAGAAUAGGGUGGUGUUUGUUACUGCAGCCUGACAUAGCCCACCCUGACAAGUACAGAUGGCGGCCUGUAGUGCUUACAUACCAAAAAAGAAUAAUCUUAGAAUGCACAGUGUAAAGCCACUCAGUCACUUGUCAUAAAAUUUAUACGAUGAGAAAGAGGCCACACAGAUCCGCAGAUGGUGGACCAAACUCCUUGGUUGGUUGGUAUUGGGAGAACAAGUGUUAGGCCUGGGGAGAAUGUGUGGGUAUCCAUCUGUCUUUGGCCAAGUGAACACGCUAGUGUUCCAGGUCUUUAGGCAAAAGCAGAAAAGAGAUGACAGCUUUCAGCUCAACAGAUAACUUAAGAUGCCAAACUUUUCUGCUGUGUGCCUUAUUUUUUUGAAGAAGCCCAGAGAUCCCCAGUUCAACAAGUAACUAUAUAUAAUAAGCAUGAACUUAUGUUUGCCC